rnacentral:rRNA from 1 species
UGCCUGUACCAUAACCGACACAGGUGGGUAGGUAGAGUAUACUAAGGGGCGCGAGAUAACUCUCUCUAAGGAACUCGGCAAAAUGACUCCGUAACUUCGGGAGAAGGAGUGCCUUAUUUAUAAGGUUGCAAUAACAAGAUCCAAGCAACUGUUUAUCAAAAACACAGGUCUCCGCUAAGUCGUAAGACGAUGUAUGGGGGCUGACGCCUGCCCAGUGCCAGAAGGUUAAAGAAGUUGGUUAGUGUAUGCGAAGCUGAUGACUGAAGCCCUGGUGAACGGCGGCCGUAACAAUAACGGUCCUAAGGUAGCGAAAUUCCUUGUCGGGUAAGUUCCGACCCGCACGAAAGGCGUAAUGAUUUGGAUACUGUCUCGGAGAGAGGCUCGGUGAAAUAGACUUGUCUGUGAAGAUGCGGACUACCUGCACCAGGACAGAAAGACCCUAUGAAGCUUUACUGUAACUUGAAAUUGGAAUUGGACUUUGCUUGCGCAGUAUAGGUGGGAAGCGUUGAAGAUAUUCUUGCGGGAGUAUUGGAGCUAUCAGUGAGAUACCACUCUUGUAAUGUUAGAUUUCUAACUUUGAACCAUAAUCUGGUCAAAGAACAGUUUCAGGUGGGCAGUUUGACUGGGGCGGUCGCCUCCCAAAUGGUAACGGAGGCGUACAAAGGUUUCCUCUGAACGGAUAGAAAUCGUAUCUAGAGUGUAAAGGCAUAAGGAAGCUUGACUGUGAGACCUACAAGUCGAGCAGGGACGAAAGUCGGUCUUAGUGAUCUGACGGUACUGAGUGGAAAGGCCGUCACUCAACGGAUAAAAGUUACUCUAAGGAUAACAGGCUGAUCUCCCCCAAGAGUUCACAUCGACGGGGAGGUUUGGCACCUCGAUGUCGGCUCAUCGCAUCCUGGGGCGGUAGUACGUCCCAAGGGUUGGGCUGUUCGCCCAUGAAAGCGGUACGCGAGCUGGGUUCAGAACGUCGUGAGACAGUUCGGUCCAUAUCCGGUGUAGGCGUUAGAAUAUUGAGAGGAGCCUUCUUAGUACGAGAGGACCGAGAAGGACACACCGCUGGUGUACCAGUUAUCGUGCCAACGGUAAACGCUGGGUAGCUAUGUGUGGAGUGGAUAACCGCUGAAAGCAUCUAAGUGGGAACCCCACCUCAAGAUGAUUGCUCUCACAGGGUUAGCCUGGUAAGGUCACGGGAAGACCACCCGUUGAUAGGCACUCGGUGGAAGUCCAGCAAUGGAUGAAGCCAAGGUGUACUAACAGACCGAGGGCUUGAU